CCUACGGGAGGCAGCAGUGGGGAAUAUUGGGCAAUGGGCGCAAGUCUGACGCAGCGACGCCGCGUGAGGGAAGAAGGCUUUCGGAUUGUAAACUUCUGUUAGCAGGGAAGAGCAGAAGCCGGUACCCCUUGAAUCAUCCACAGCUAACUAUGUGCCAGCAGCCGCGGUAAUACGUAGGUAGCAAGCGUGGUACGGCUUUACUGGGUGUAAAUGGCGUGUAUCCGGGAAGACAAGUCAGAGGUGAAAUCCCCGGGCUCAACCGAGGAACUGCAUGUGAAGCUGUUGUGCUUGAGUAUGGGAGAGGUAAGCGGAAUUCCUGGUGUAGCGGUGAAAUGCGUAGAUAUGAGGAAGAACACCAGUGGCGAAGGCGGAUUACUGGACGACAACUGACGGUGAGGCGCGAAAGCGUGGGGAGCAAACAGGAUUAGAUACCCUGGUAGUC
rnacentral:rRNA from 1 species